AUACGUAGGGUGCGAGCGUUAAUCGGAAUUACUGGGCGUAAAGCGUGCGCAGGCGGUUUUGUAAGACAGGCGUGAAAUCCCCGGGCUCAACCUGGGAAUGGCGCUUGUGACUGCAAGGCUAGAGUGCGUCAGAGGGGGGUAGAAUUCCACGUGUAGCAGUGAAAUGCGUAGAGAUGUGGAGGAAUACCGAUGGCGAAGGCAGCCCCCUGGGACGAGACUGACGCUCAUGCACGAAAGCGUGGGGAGCAAACAGGAUUAGAAACCCGAGUAGUCC
rnacentral:rRNA from 1 species